AGAACAAUGUAUAAUAUAUAUGAUUGUUACAUUAUUAUUGAAUCAAUAUUGCAUAAUUUCGCAUGGGGCAUGCGCCCUUGGGCUUUGGGAGGAUCUCUCUUUGGAUUGCAGAGAGGAUGCAUGUGCGCACAUGGAUAGCGGGUUUCAAGUUUCUAAAGCCCAAUUGCUCUCUCUCCUCUCUCCACCUCUCUCUCUCUCUCUCUCUCUCAGUUCCCCAUACUCCAUUCAUUGAAUCAUAUUAAAUGCAAAAAAAAAACACACACCCCCAUGAAUUUUUUAACUAUUUGUCGCCCAAUUGCUCUCUCUGCUCUUUCUCUAUAAACCAAAACGCACACGGACCAUUUUAUGAGUUUUUUCUGUUCCAAUUCAUUUUCAAUGAUGUCUGUUUCUAUAACCACCAUCCUUUUCCUCUUAUUUGCUUCGUUAUCGUCUGCAACAGACCCUUCGAUCAUUGAACAUCAUGAGAACAGAAUCGAGAAUUCCUCGGGUGGGAAUGAAGGGGAGGUGAUGGCUAUGUAUGAAUGGUGGUUGGCUGAGCAUGUUAAGGUGUACAAUGGGUUGGGAGAGCACGGAAAGAGGUUCGAGAUUUUUAAGGAUAAUUUGAGGUUUGUUGACGAACAUAACUCGGAGAACCGGACCUACAAGGUGGGUUUGAACCGGUUUGCUGAUCUGACCAAUAUAUGAAGAGUACCGGUCCAUCUAUUUGGGCACGAAGACUGACGCUAAGCGCCGGUUCUUGAAGUCCAAGAGCGUCGGCUGGCGUUACGCGGUUCGGGUCGGUUGGAGGGAGAAAGGUGCUGUUGCUCCCGUCAAAGAUCAAGGAAGUUGUGGGUAAUAAAGUUAAAAUGAGCUAAUUUUGAUUCACUAAAGCCUUUUUGGAGUCAAGCAAAGAUAUUCAAAAAAAAAAAAAAAAUGGCAAAAAAGAGGUCACAGCCCAUUGCUUGUAUAGUGUGUUUAUUCUUCAAAAACGGUCAAUCUCAGGCCUUUGAUGAUGUUCCCAAAGAUGAAGAAGCAAACCAAUGAGCUCGGGGCCAAAAUGGAGCUAAAUAGGGCUUAAAGGAAAUUUCCAACUCUUGGGGGAUCAAUCCCCCAGGGUGGGGGAUCGAUCCUCCAGGACUUGGCAACAUUAUAGGAUUUUCUUAUUGUUUGGGCUUAUUUUAUGAACUAUUGGGCUUUAAUGGGGUUAUUAUUUAUGGCCCAGUGAGCCUUUAGUUUAGAGUUAGUUUUUAUUUUAUUGAGGUGGAGAUUAUUAUUUUUUAUUAAGUUUUAAAUUCUGUACCGAUAUCACGUUCUCUCUGGAAAAACAAUCGAAAGAGGAGAAAAAGCAAGAACAAGCUAGGGUUUUGAGAAGAAGCUUAGAGAUGAUGAAGCAGAUGAUGGAACUUAUUGACACCUUGAAUCCAUCAACUAUAAGCGGCUAAAUCUUCUACUUAGGGUUGGAUAAACCCUAAGCAUGUAACCUAAUCUCUCUCUCUUUUCACUUUUUGGGAAUUUAUUUGUGUAAUUUUUGUAUAGCCUUGAAAUAUAAAUUAAUUCUUUCAUUUGAUUAU